rnacentral:lncRNA from 1 species
ACCUAUGUGAUAGGUCACAAUCGUGCAUUUGCUUAUUUUGUAUUUUUCUUUUUUCGUUUUGUUAUAUUUUUUCCCUUUUUUUGUAAAUAAUUAUGAUUUAACUCUAGUUUAAAUAUAAAUAACCUAAUUUGUAAAUAAUAUUCCUAUAAUCCUUAUCCUAAGAUACCAGUUACCCUUAAUAUUAAAAAAAUGAAUUAUAUAAAAAAUGAAUUUGUAAAUAGAAACAAUUUAAAUUUGAAUUUCAUACCCAUCCUACUAUACCCCUGGUAUCCCACCAUCAAAAUCCUUCCCAAACCAUAUAUGCACUGAUGCAUGGCGCCCGGUACCAACUGUGCGAAAACAAAUCCCUCCCGGGAAAUGUUCUAAGAUUUGGUUUUGCUGCAUCAUCAAGUCCUAUAAAAAGGAUAUGCAGGCCCAGGAAAGGAUCUUUUUCGGUACAAAGUUAAAAGUUAAUCGCGAGUGGAAGACACCUGUACCCCACCGCAGAUCAAAUAGGAAGUGAUAAGUGCCAAGUGUCCCACUAGAAACUCAAGGGAACCUGAGAGGACCGAACAGGACGGGUCUCGAAGACAUUCCGGAGACGCAAAGCCUCGCUGGCAUCUCGACAUCCAUCGACCGCCGGCAAGGAAGCCAAGUCACUAGCCAUUUAUUGGACCGAAACUCCCAUCAGCAACGACAAAUCGCAGGUGAAGUUGUAGUGCAUUCCUUUCAUACCUUCUUAAAUCCUUACCCUUUAAAAUAAAUCAUGUGUAAAUUAGAA